UUGUCCAAAAGUGCUUGUAAAUAACACACCUCGGUGCAGAUUCAUUAGCUACAAGGUGGCAGCGACCUGUGUGUCUGUCUAGGUGCUUAUUUAUAGCCAGCCAUUUCUUAUCGUGGUAUUUCUUAAGCUUCGCCAUGUGUGUGAAUGCGAUCUGUCACUAUAACAGUGUUCUUCAGCUAAAGCAAACACUACUACCUGUCCAGAACAGCUUGAGAGCCAAACAUUCCCUAUCUUCCUAGCCUGAGGACAUUUCCAGAAAUGGAAAGUUUGCUCAAGGAAGACCCUCAACCAAGGAAAGAAUUUAGGAGGGGGAAAAAAAAAAAGACAUAUAGAGUCAACACCCCAAGUUGCCCUUUGAGUUAAUUCAGUCUUACACAGAUGGAUUUAAAAUACAGGCUUCAAAUCAACAAAAGCUUAUGGAGGGUCAUUACAUACCAGGCAUGGAGCUGAACACCAACCGGGGAACUAAAACUGAAACAGACACCGUUUCUUUCAUUCCGAAAACGUUUUUGCUGUCUGGCCAGUUUUUCAGCAGGUCACCACAGCAUUCCCCUCAAGUUAGAACACUCAAGCCCUUCUUUCUGACCAAUCUCCUUGAUGCCAGAAUACACAUCUGGCCCAGGAGAAGUAGGUGGUUACACAUUUCCACUCAAUUGGGAAAUUAACAGCCUGUGAUAUAGCAACAUGGGGCUAGCAGGCCUAGAGUCAGAAAGCCUGCUUUCUAGUCUUGUACUUACUGGCCUUACCACCUGGAGCCAGACGAGUACCCUCCCUUGGUCCCCAUAGUUGAAAUGGGGUGCUGCGAGGACCUUGUGAAGUAGGCGGGGCUUGGCAAAAGUAUAGCCAUCCAAGAGAGCAUGGGGGGCUGGGGAGGCGGGGCGGGGAGGGUUGCUGUCUCAUUGGGGGCCAGGUUGUGAUGGGGAUGGGUAAGCUAU